rnacentral:rRNA from 1 species
GUGGGGAAUAUUGCACAAUGGGCGCAAGCCUGAUGCAGCAACGCCGCGUGAGGGAUGACGGCCUUCGGGUUGUAAACCUCUUUUAGUAGGGAAGAAGCGUAAGUGACGGUACCUGCAGAAAAAGCACCGGCUAACUACGUGCCAGCAGCCGCGGUAAUACGUAGGGUGCAAGCGUUGUCCAGAAUUAUUGUGCGUAAAGAGCUCGUAGGCGGCUUGUCGCGUCUGCCGUGAAAACCCAGGGCUCAACUCUGGGCGUGCGGUGGGUACGGGCAGGCUAGAGUGCGGUAGGGGAGAUUGGAAUUCCUGGUGUAGCGGUGGAAUGCGCAGAUAUCAGGAGGAACACCGAUGGCGAAGGCAGAUCUCUGGGCCGUAACUGACGCUCAUGCACGAAAGCGUGGGGAGCAAACAGGAUUAGAUACCCUAGUAGUCC